UACAGAGGUCCCAAGCGUUGUUCGGAUUCACUGGGCGUAAAGGGUGCGUAGGUGGUAGUGCCAGUUUGAUGUGAAAUCUCCGGGCUUAACCUGGAAAUGGCAUUGAAUACUGCAUUGCUUUGAGGUUUGGAGGGGGGACUGGAAUUCUCGGUGUAGCAGUGAAAUGCGUAGAUAUCGAGAGGAACACCAGUGGCGAAGGCGAGUCCCUGGACAAAACCUGACACUGAGGCACGAAAGCCGGGGGAGCAAACAGG
rnacentral:rRNA from 1 species